UCUUGGCCGAGUGGUCUAAGGCGGCAGAUCCAGGUUCUGUUCUUAAUUGGCGCAGGUUCAAAUCCUGCAGA
rnacentral:ncRNA from 14 species